UACGGAGGAUGCGAGCGUUAUCCGGAUUUAUUGGGUUUAAAGGGUGCGUAGGCGGGUUAUCAAGUCAGCGGUAAAAUCGUGGAGCUCAACUCCAUCCAGCCGUUGAAACUGAUGAUCUUGAGUGGGCGAGAAGUAUGCGGAAUGCGUGGUGUAGCGGUGAAAUGCAUAGAUAUUAGGAGGAACACCAGUGGCGAAGGCGACUUUCUGGACAGUAACUGACGUUGAGGCACGAAAGUGUGGGGAGCAAACAGG
rnacentral:rRNA from 1 species